AUACGUAGGGGGCGAGCGUUGUCCGGAAUGAUUGGGCGUAAAGGGCGCGUAGGCAGCCUGUUAAGUCUGGAGUGAAAGUCCUGUUUUCAAGAUGGGAAUUGCUUUGGAUACUGAUGGGCUUGAGUGCAGGAGAGGUUAUCGGAAUUCCCGGUGUAGCGGUGAAAUGCGUAGAGAUCGGGAGGAACACCAGUGGCGAAGGCGGGUAACUGGACUGCAACUGACGCUGAGGCGCGAAAGCGUGGGGAGCAAACAGGAUUAGAUACCCUGGUAGUCCUAGUCGUAAACGAUGCGGACUUGGUGUUGGGAUGGCUUUGAGCCGCUCCGGUGCCGAAGGGAAGCUGUUAAGUCCGCCGCCUGGGAAGUACGGUCGCAAGACUGAAACUUAAAUGAAUUGGCGGGG
rnacentral:rRNA from 1 species